AGCCAGCUUUUCAUUGCCAAGCCCGAGUCUCACUAAAUCCACUCCACAAAAGUAUCUCAACUUUCAAGGCAGUAAGGCAUCAUUUAGCUUGGUAAAAUGGUA